GAGAAAUGGGAAUGGACGUGGCAAAGGGCCCUGCAUCACUACGCACUCAUUUGAUUGAUUCACUAUAUGGGCUCGAUGAAGCUGCUCUUAAUUCGCGAAUAAGGAUCUCCAGCUUGUGAUUAAAUUUUGGAGGGGUUAUAUGUAUGGUAUGCCUAGUAACUACUCUUGAACUAUUUUGAGUUUGUUCAGUGCUUUAGUGUUCAAUAAUGUUGAAA
rnacentral:misc_RNA from 1 species